UGGGGGAUAUUGCACAAUGGGGGGGAACCCUGAUGCAGCGACGCCGCGUGGGUGAAGAAGCGCCUCGGCGCGUAAAGCCCUGUCAGCAGGGAAGAAAUGACGGUACCUGAAGAAGAAGCCCCGGCUAACUACGUGCC
rnacentral:rRNA from 1 species